AUUCAUUUGAGUUUUAACCUUGCGGUCGUACUCCCCAGGCGGUGUGUUUAUCGGUUUCCUGCGACACUGAAAAUAAAUUUCCAACGUCUAACACACAUCGUUUACGGCAUGGACUACGAGGGUAUCUAAUCCUCUUCGCUACCCAUGCUUUCGUUCCUCAGUGUCAGUAAUGAUCCAGAAAGCUGCCUUCGCAAUUGGUAUUCUUUCUAAUAUCUACGAAUUUCACCUCUACACUAGAAAUUCUGCUUUCCUCUAUCAUACUCUAGCUGAAAAGUUUUGAUGGCAGUUCCAGAGUUAAGCUCUGGGAUUUCACCACCAACUUUUUCAACCACCUACGAACUCUUUAAGCCCAGUAAUUCCGAACUACGCUAGGUCCCUUCGUAUUACCGCGGCUGCUGGCACGAAGUUAGCCGGACCUUCUUAUUCGGGUACAGUCAUUUUCUUCCCCGACGAAAGAGCUUUACAACCCAAAGGCCUUCUUCACUCACGCGGCAUCGCUGCAUCAGAGUUUCCUCCAUUGUGCAAGAUUCCCCACUGCUGCCUCCCGUAGGAGUUUGGGCCGUGUCUCAGUCCCAAUGUGGCUGAUCAUCCUCUCAAAUCAGCUAUUGAUCAUAGUCUUGGUAGGCCAUUACCCUACCAACAAACUAAUCAAGUGCGGGCUCAUCCAAUGGUGCAUAAAGCUUUCUCCGUAAAGACUUAUCCGGUAUUAGCACAAGUUUCCUCGUGUUAUUCCAGGCCAAAGGGUAGAUACCCACAUGUUACUCACCCGUCUGCCACUAAGUAUUGCUACUUCGUUCGACUUGCAUGUGUUAGGCGUGCCGCCAGCGUACGUUCUGAGCCAGGAUCAAACUCU
rnacentral:rRNA from 1 species